rnacentral:sRNA from 1 species
AUAUGGCCUGAGAAAGGCGUUGUUGAGCAUAAAAACUAUUACGGAGCCAAAGUAUCGUUCAAACAACGAAAGCAAGCGAUCACCGUACAGCAUUGCGCGGCUCUAGCCUUUCGAUAUGGCUAAAUUUGCCAAAGCGCAAAGUUAACAAUAUGUUUUUUACGAGAGCCUCGAUCCGAGCGCUCUGAGGGAAAUAUAACCUAACCUAACCUUGAUAGAUAACCUUGACUUGGAGUAGCACUUCCAUUGUGCGCUCGCUACUCACUUGCUUUCUGAUACACCCUGAGAUGUUUUUUAUAGGACCAAUUUUAAAUUUUCGAAUUUAUUCUUCAAAUAUAUUGCUCUGCAUCGAGCGACAUUACCCUCAUUCGUCCAUUUGUUCGGCCGGAAUCACACCAUCACAAUAUUGCUCGAAUGCAAGGGACCAUAUUUAGUUAGGACUGGAUUUCUGAAUGGCUUGAGCUUUCAGCAAUAGGAAAGAGCCAUCUACCUGAAAGCCAUGCUCACAUCACUACCCAAGCCGAAGCUCUAGGGAUUUUCGACUCCUCUGAUGAGCAAAAUGAAUUGAAUCUUUCCAUGUACUGAUGUGCUGUGAAAAAGGGCGACAGCUUUCUAAUUGAUGGCUGGCUACAUGCCUUUUUAUGCCAACAAGAAUCACUUGAUCUGCGAAGUCAGCUUCUAUCUGCCUGCUCUGCAACAGUCUCUUGUUCUUUAGAAGGACUUGUUUUAUGGAAGCAUCAGUCUAGAUAUCAAUUCACCUCUAUGGUUCUAUUCAUUUUUGCCCCCAUGCAAAAAAUGUAUUUAUUAUACGUUCACGAAUAAUGCCCCUUCCGAUUCAACAGCCACAAGGGCCAAGGUUGAAGACGGAUGUGGCUACCAACUCAAAUAUGCCGCC